rnacentral:tRNA from 1 species
GGCGGCGUAGCUCAGGGGUUAGAGCAGUCGCUUCAUAAGCGACGUGUCACUGGUUCAAAUCCAGUCGCCGCUA